GAUUGUUUUCCCCGUGUGGGGGGAGAAAUAGGAACGUUAGAAGCAGGACACCACAAACCCUGGACCGAGAGUGUACAGGCAGCGGCUGUAUUCAGGGUUACGAUCAUCAAGACUUGAGGUCAUCACUCUUAAAAAGCAAGAAGAAGGUACAGACAUCUUGAUAGUUCACAAGGAACACAGAGGAAAGGUCUGCAUCUCCUUUCAGUCAUUGCCUGGCCCCAGCUUCUCCAUCCAUCCCCUAUGCUCCGAUGCACCAGACACAGCUGACCAGCUGAAUUGCAGAUCACCAAGCACGGCUCUGAAGUUUCUCACAUGACUUGUGCUCGGAAGAAAAGUGCAUCAUGUGCAUCCUCAGGAGAGAAAGCUGGAGGAGUCUGGCAGUACCUGAGUUCCCACAGUCAGAUGGACAUGUUCUGCCUGUUUCUCUCCCUCUCUUCCCUUCACACAUAUUCCUCAAAGUACAAUGCUUUGUUUUGUAUGGUCACUGGAAUCUAGCAUAAGCCUGGAUUGCCACUUGGGUGGAUAGUCCCACAUCUCCUGUUGCACCUGUGACUGCUCACUCCCUGCUCCCUUGCUCCAGCACCCCCAUUUCUGUGAUGACAGGCACAGAAAAUCAUGGAACUGAUCCAUCUGUAAAAUAGUUCGAAGAAAAAUGGUAACACCUGGGGACAUAACAGACAUUCCAAGGCCCAAGUGACUGGAAAGAGAACCAAGAUAAUGCAGCUAGGCUCCAGGAUCCAGCUGCCCCUACUGUGGGGUAGGCAAGGCAUCCUUAAGAGACUCUGUCAGAGCUCAAGUAAAGCAGAGAAUAUUGAACAAGUCUGCGAAGGUUGUUCACAAGUAGACUCUUCAUAAUAAAUUGGCAUCCACCCAGAAAUCUGAAAUAGCAGGUUUUCCUUUUACAAAUUGUUUAUUUUAGUUUCUAAAGUAAUAGAAGUGUAAAUUUACAGAAGAGAAAAAUGCAAUAAAAUACCCCAAUAUUUAUUACACAGUGAAAAUCUCACAGAGAAGAGGAUAGCUUUUCUCCAAGUAAGAGGAUUGUAUCCCUGGUUGUAUUUAAAGCCUUUAUUUUCAUGACAUCACUGACAUUACAGAGUCCUGUAAGCCAUGAGUCUCUUUAACAGCUUGUCUUAUAUCUACCUAGCCAUUUAUUCAAGUAUAAAGAUUAAAUUAAAAAUAAAUGAAAGCAACUGAUGCAUGAGUGCACUCUGGCAAAAAAAACCCCAACCAAACAAAACAACAACAAAAACCCAAAACCAAAACAAACAAACUCCCCAACAAAACAAAACAACUACCAAAACCAACCCAAACAAUCAAAAACCAAGUUCCCAAAAAUCUGAUAGGGACAUUGCUGAAGAUGAGAAGAUAACCAAGUGAGUAAAUACCAACUGCUGGCUUAGCUUUACUUACAAGAAAUCUGUUUCUUGUAAGUUACCAGCAGGUAACAUGGAAGCCUUUCCAUGAUAAACAGCAACAUUCACUUUUCUGUGUCUGUAGCCUGACCUGAGGUCACUGCAGAAGCCUCUGUCAAAAGAGUAAUUUUUAGCCUGAUUUCCUAAGGAAAGAAGACUUAUGAAAUUACUCUGUGUUAGUGUUUCUGCCUCUGGGUCCCAUUACUUCCCCCACUUUCUUGCCAAAAAAAAGCAUGUUUAAACCACUGCUAAAUUCCAUCUAAAUUUGUACAAAGGUAACUUCAGUGAAAUGCAAAGCCAAGUGGAUAAAAAAGGUCCUAAUAAAGCUGUCACUGAUAAAAUGGUAAGCAUGUGCAGACACUGCUUAAUAUACAUAUGAGAAUCCACACAGUGGUAUCACAUCAGGGUAAAUCCAUAGGACACCAGACUUCACUUGUUCUGCUGAUCACAGAAAAAAAAUUAUAAUGACAUUAGCUCAUCCUUUAGGAGGGAGAAAACUGGGGUAAAUGAGUCAGUGUUCAAAGGAAAAUCAAUGAUCAUGGAAUAUCAAAGGAAAAGGGCUCCAGUGAAGACUUAAAUUGCUGGUAGCAGACAAUGAGCAGAGAGCUGCAUGUAGUCCCCACUAGCUCAUUAAUAACACUCUCUUUGGGGCCCCAUCCCAAGCUACAGAAAAAAGCCAAACUCACGUUUCACCUCCUAAUGUGAUUUAUCUUCCUUCUGUCGAUGCUAGUAACCCCAUGACUACAUAUGCAAACAAGCUGUUUUAAACAGGGUUUGUUUUAACACGGUUGAGACCAGGAAGGCAGUAGGGUUUCUUUCCUCAAGAAGUCAGAAUGAGAUCAGUUUCAAUCAACUGUGAAGCCACAUCCUAAAGGUGGAGUCUCACACUGCAACAAGGUAGAUAGAAGGUUUCGCUUCUGUUGAAAAGGCAAUUCUAUUUCCCCUUUUACCUGUCAGCAUUCUUCUCCAGCCUCAAUUCUGCAAAUACUGGUGCCUGCUUGAUUUGAGGAAUUAAGUGAGCAGGAAGCUAGCACAGCAGAAAACUGGGUUUUCUUCUGGUUUAACUCCUUGUACUAAUUCAUCAUACAGCCAGACCUCAGUGAAACUACAUCCUAAGCCAAAAGAUGAGUCAGUGGUAGCUCACUGAAGGUAGCUCAUUGACAGAGUUUGUAAGUUUUGCAAAGAAGCUAAAAAAACCUCAGAACUGUAAAAUUCUAGAUAAUCCCAUGAGGAUGAGUUGUAUUAACAUCAAUCAUCAUCAACGUAUUUCUUCUUUAAUUGCCAACUCUUGUCAUUGCUUAUAUAGAAACAGAGAUGAUUUUCUCAAUUCCAUUUCUUGAAAAGCUGCUUAACUUUUCAGUCAGUCAGUCCAGAAGGCACUCUGAGUCAGCCUCACAGUUUAUGGCUGCUAAGAAUAUGACAUCCCCAUCUCCAAAACUCAUCUCCCAGCUGGGCACUCCAGAUUAGCUAGUGCUGAUUUUGGCACUCAUUGGGACACUUCCAGGAGCCAAAUAAACACAUGGCAGACAAGCAGGUCCAAUAAGUAGCAGCAUCAGCACAAAGAAAGGGACAGAGCACAGAGCCACAAAAAAAUAAAGCCACCUUUCAGUGGUCACAAAUCAUUACAUUAGCUUAGCUGCAUGUUAAACCCAUAUAGCAGAACAGCAAGUCCCAAGGGAAAAGGAGAAAUUCGAGAAAACAUUCCUUGUUCUUCCUACCUUUCUGGUCCAGGAAAGUAAGCAAAAGGAGAAAAGCCCAGAAGCCACCAAAUUUUCACUAGAGGGAAUAAAUUACACAAGCAAAAUGAUUUUUAAAAAAUUCUAUGGCUAAAAUAUGAUGUAGUCUUUUUGGUUUACCCUUUCUUUCUAUGUCCCCUCAAAAAUUAAAAAUAUUGAUAUAAAUAAACAAAUUAAUAAAAGCCUUUGACUCAGCUCCACUUUCCUAAUUAUGCAUUCACUAUCUCUUACUCACUCCAUAGAAACCCAACUAUCAAUGUCCAAACUUCUCAGUUUCCACUCCGGAUUAACCAAAGCCAAAGGUUCAACAGAAGCCCAAAAAGAGUAUUUAAAUCUCAUCCUUUCUCACCUGACACAAUUAACCAUGCUUCACUUAGAUACUUUUUACCUACUUAAGAUUUCCUUCCUAGUGUUUGACAGACUCUUAGAGAGCUGUAUCCUUGGUCUCCUGUUACCCUCCUACAUUAUCUCUCAGUUAGCUCUGAGGAAAAGAGCAGAUCCAUCUGCAGAGAGAUAUUUAUUUCUAUUUCAGAUGAGAUACCUCCCCCUAUCCAAACUCAAAACACAGUCUUCUUCUCUCUUCUGUGAAUGGCUAUCAAGAAAUUAGAGUUCAGCAGAGCUGGAACUUUUCCCUGAAAGCCCUCUUAUUAUUUUCUUUGUGAGUAUCAAAGCAGCACCAGUUUACCUGCCACUCAAGCUUGUUUGUCAGCUGUCAGGUGUGACUGAAAUGUCUUUGUAGAUCCUAGCACCCAGGGUAUAUACUUCCCUGUGGCAGGUCCAAAACAACCCUUUGAUCUAUCCUUGCAGCUAAGACCUUUGUUCUCUUGCUGAUGUACAAAGACUGCCCUAAUACCUCUCCAUCCAGCAUUAACCAACACAGCUGCUAACCCAACAGCCAUUGUCCACUGGAAGUGCCAUAGUCUGACAACUGAUCAGUUAUCGUCAGUCCUUCCUGAGGCAGAAAAAAAUUCUGCAGCAUGGACAGAAGCUAAUACGAGAGCAAUGUGACACCAUGGCCAUACCUCAUCCAGAUCAACUUAGUACGGCUGAGAGACUGGGCUCUGCACAGCCUUGGAAUUAGUAACUCUGAAACUGCAACCCAAGAUUGUUUACAUAGAUCAUUUCUCUAACCAUAUCACUUCUUUGAAGGAUUCUCCUAGUUCCCCCUUCUGUAUUGCAUCAAACAUUA